AGUGAGCGCUGGCGGUAGGCCUAACACAUGCAAGUCGAACGGCAGCACAGUAAGAGCUUGCUCUUACGGGUGGCGAGUGGCGGACGGGUGAGGAAUACAUCGGAAUCUACUUUUUCGUGGGGGAUAACGUAGGGAAACUUACGCUAAUACCGCAUACGACCUACGGGUGAAAGCAGGGGAUCUUCGGACCUUGCGCGAUUGAAUGAGCCGAUGUCGGAUUAGCUAGUUGGCGGGGUAAAGGCCCACCAAGGCGACGAUCCGUAGCUGGUCUGAGAGGAUGAUCAGCCACACUGUAACUGAGACACGGUCCAGCCCCCUACGGGAGGCAGCAGUGGGGUAUAUUGGACAAUGGGCGCAAGCCUGAUCCAGCCAUACCGCGUGGGUGAAGAAGGCCUUCGGGUUGUAAAGCCCUUUUGUUGGGAAAGAAAAGCAGCAGGUUAAUACCCCGCUGUUCUGACGGUACCCAAAGAAUAAGCACCGGCCAACUUCGUG
rnacentral:rRNA from 1 species